UACGAACUGUGCGAACGUUAUUCGGAAUCACUGGGCUUAAAGGGUGCGUAGGCGGCGAAUCAAGUCUGUUGUGAAAUCUCUCGGCUCAACCGAGAAAGUGCAGUGGAAACUGGUUUGCUAGAGUGAGGCAGGGGUGUAGGGAACUUCCAGUGGAGCGGUGAAAUGUGUUGAUAUUGGAAGGAACACCGGUGGCGAAAGCGUUACACUGGGCCUUUUCUGACGCUGAGGCACGAAAGCCAGGGGAGCGAACGGG
rnacentral:rRNA from 1 species